UUUGUAAAAAAAAAAUAUCACAAUUUAAAAAUUACAAUAAUUAUGAUUCAAAAGGAAUUGGAACUAGAGUACGUAGUUGAUUAUAAAUUAAAAUUUAAUUCAAUUUGAGAAAGAGAAAAUAUAAACCGACUAAUAAAAUAAAAAAUACAAGAUUAUUGUACACCCACAUAGAGAUACAAGAAAAGAAAUAUAAAAAUAUUAAAAUAUGGAGUAUGAAAUAUUGUGCUUCAGAAGUGAUUAAGCAACAAUGAUUUAACAGUCAUUUGAACGGGUUAAAUCGAUGCAAAGUUACAUUGAAAAUAAUGAUACGUUUGUUAAGAAAAAAAAGAAAAAAAUGGCGGUUAAAAUCGAUGGGAUACAGGCAUGAUUUCCGGUGCUGGAGCAAGCGGAGGGAAGAAACACGAAGGUGCGAGAGAGAAAGAAUUACGGAAGGACACGGGUAGCGUAACAGCGCCAGAAUAAUCGUCCCAGUGGCGUCUUUUAAUCCGAACCGCCAUACGAAUCUAUUUUUCGCCGGACAAUCGCGCCAGAAAUACCGGAUCGGCCCCCUUCGUGUUAAUUCUGUUCUGGUGCUCACAUGAUCGCCACCACUUGGUCUGCGCUUCGGUAUACAUCGCGCGGAUCCCGGCAUUCUACGGCAUCUUUCACAAGUAGCAACACUUUAGAACCUUAGAAGCUAAGAAAAAAUUUUUACCACAUCUUUUCGAGUUUUAAAAAUAGUUGGAUAGAAAAUUUUCGUGCACGGCCUUGUUACCGUUCUCAGAACUCUUCGAAAAAUAAUGUAACAUUUACGAAUGAAAGUUAUUAAACGAUAUCCUCGGAUAUAAAUAAAAGUAAUCGACGUAAGAAUUUUUUCCAACGAGUCAAAUUAUUGGAUGGAAGGUUAAAUAGAUGGAAAAAAUGAGAAAUGGUUAUGCCGAUAAAUUAAUAUUUCGCGAAUCGAUUCGAUUUCGAUUAAGGUGAAAUUUCGUUGAAGGGUAAAGAGAGAUCAGUCUUCGAUGGGUGGAUUCCCUGGUCGAAAAUGACAGCAAGUCUGCGAACAAGUCUAGGGGAUCUAGACGGGCGAGAACCACGUCGAAAAUAACCGGGAUUCGAAAAUAAAAUAAUUAAAUUAAUGCUUUUGCAUCCGAGUGGGUAUAUCGUAUAUCGAAUCGUCUGGAUGAGAGCAUGCUCUAAAAAUAAACGACUGUUAGAUUAAUGGCAAUACAAUUAAAUGGGACUCGUGAAAAGCACCGCAGGAAAUUCAAUCGUACGAUCCGAGACUCGCCGGUAUCGUGACACCCGCGACAACACCGAUAAUUAUCGCCAAGAACCGCGAUCAAACGUCAAUUAAAUCGAUUACUACGGAUCUUCUUUCCGUAACAUCUCAAUCUCGCCGAUCUUUUACGUAACGAGAUUAAUCUCAUCCUUCGAAAUUCAUUCGAUCAACUCUGUAAUCUUCUAUCCUAUUCCUUUCGUACGAACGAUUUUCUAGAUUUAUUUAUUUAUUUUCUUCUUCGUAUCUAAUUUAUUUCCACUUGAAAAAGAAAAAUGAUAUAAAUCAAGGAUUUAUAUUGGAAAAUUAAAAGAUCACGAAGCACGUUGUUUGCGGCUUUCCCGAAAUUCUCGAAAUGUGCAGAGAACGCGCAACGAGAACGAUCGACGAUCGGCGAGGCUCGGUCAGUCCUCGCCGGUUGUAUUAUAAAAUGUGCGAAUUAUUUUUAGCAGGACGCAAAAAUAUCGCAAGGUCGCCGCACGCGCCGGUACUUUUGCCCGUUCGUCGCGUGCGCCUUCUUCGAGAGCUUGAUGUCCGAAAAGCACGAAGCUUUCGGUCGUGGAACCAGAGGAGUCGCCACCGUGCAGACGUUAUUGGCUAUUUUCACGAAAGCUCGUCAGGUGGCAGCCAUGCUUGCGAGAGCUAAGGGGAAUAACUAGCUUUUCCGAUAUCGGUACUCGGUUUAAUCGAUAGAUUUGACAUUUAUUGAUCAAUGAGAAAGAAGAUAGUUUGUGGAGAUGAAGAGCAGCGUACAUUUGGUAAUAGUUGAAAUAAUGAAAAAUUGUGGAAAACGGAUGUUAUCGAAUGUGGAUAUAUAGAUUGUGGAAGAUUGAUCGUGAAUUGUGAACAAAUGCACCGUGAUGAUUUUUGUAUUGCAAUAAUGUGAAAUAAAUACGUUUCGAAUUA